GCCAGAUAAGGGAAGCAGGCCUCCGAAGCCAGCAGUGGCAACCCACUUGGGUCCCUUUCAAUGCUGUGGAAGCGUUGUUCUUUCACUCUUCUCAAUAAAUCUUGCUGCUGCUCACUCUUUGGGUCUGCCCCGCUGUUAUGAGCUGUAACACUCACAGCCAGUGUCUGCAGUUUCACUCCUGAAGCCAGCAAGACCACAAACCCACAGGGCGGGACAAACAACUCCGGACAGGAGGAAUGAACAACUCUGGACGCGCCACUUCUAUGAACUUUUAUGAACUGUAACACUCACCGCAAAGGUCUGCAGCUUCACCCCUGAGGCCAGGGAGACCACGAACCCACCGGAAGGAAUGAACAACUCCAGACGCACUGCCUUUAAGAGCUGUAACACUUACCACGGAUGUCUGCAGCUUCACUCCUGAAGUCAGCGAGACCACAAACCCAACAGAAGGAAGAAACUCCCGACACAUCUGAACAUCUGAAGGAACAAACUCUGGACACACCAUCUUUAAGAACUGUAACACUCACCGUGAGGGUCAACCGCUUCAUUCUUGAAGUCAGCCAGACCAAGAACCCACCAAUUCCGUCUAUCUGAAUCAUGUUAUUGGACCAUGAGAGCAAGCAGCUGGAUCUCAUUCUGUCCAGGUACAAAUAUACUAAAUUAACAUAAGUAGCAUAUCAUAUGUGUCAUAUGUGUGCUGAAUAUGUUAUAUUUAAUAACUAAAAAACCUUAAAACCUUACUUUUUUGGUACUUUUAAAUACCAAGAAUUAAUUAAUUAAUUAAUUAAUUUAGCUUGUGUCCAUUUCCUCUUACAAGUAUAUAGGAAACUUUUUACUCUCUGAAUCUUUAUAAAAUUGCAAGUCUUGGUGAACAGUAAUUGUCUUCUUGGAUAAUAUUUAUGCAAAGAGUGUUUGGAGACAUCUAUAUUCUGGAUAAAACUAAUUAUUUAAUACAGUACUUUUUUUAAAGGACAUGCUAUUUUAACUUCACUUCAGCAAAGUUUAUCUGUAGGCACUUAUAUAUGCACUUAAAACAAAAUUUAAAUAAAUGAGCAUGAUUUUUUUCCUUACUUUAAGUGGACUGGCAUCUUUCCCAUAUGUUUUGCAUGUAACAACAUUCCCAAAAAGUUAAGUGCAUCUAGGAUACACCUUAUUUAAUAACCUUAGCACCAGCUGCUCAUAUUCACUGCCAGAAAUCAUGCUUUUUUGUACACAGCCUAAAGGCAAAAAAAAAUAAAAAGUGAUUUAGAAGCUGCUACUAGGCUGAAAGGUAAAUCAGUGUUCCACAUAAUUCAAAACUUACUUUUUAUAAAAAAGCAAAUAAAAGCACAAAAGUAAUUUUAGCUGAAUAUUUAAAAAGUAAUUCUAUAUGGUAUGACACUUACUACAACAGAAACUUUUGCUUACUUUCAUAGGACUCCUGGAAACAGCAGCUCUAACAAAAUUGUCUUCAAUAAAUAAGUUUUUUUGCAUCACAUUUGUGUAUGUCCUGAAUGUUCUGAGCCCUUCAGAUUUGACUCAUAUUCAUGCUAAAAGAAAAAAUGCAAAUGAAAAUUGUAUAGCUAAUUAUGAGAAAAAUAAAGCAUCAUAAGAAAACCA
rnacentral:lncRNA from 1 species